GUAUUUCAUUUAUCUUUUUGAAUCAUAACUCACAUAAAAGAGAAAUAAAGUUAGAAAAAAUUGAACAACGUCAAAGACAAAGAAAGUGAAGGAUAAAAGUUAAAUUCAUUUGUGGGAUCUAUGAGUAAUUUUGUAUUUGUAUAGUUUUUUUGUUUUUCAUUUUCUUGUAACUUUUUCUUUUAAAUUCUCAAAUAGAAAAGAUUAUUGUAGUUUUAUGGAUUUUUGUAACUUGUAAGUACCCAA
rnacentral:misc_RNA from 1 species